CAACUGCACGCCAGGGGCUCUGUGGGAGAGACAUGAAGAAGACACAUGGAGCUGGGUGUACCGUGUGACUCUGAGUAUGGAGGACACUGAGCUAUCGCAGGCGUGAUCUAGUGCCACGAUACAUGCGGCCAGUAUCUAUGGCAACGCCCAGGAGCAACCACUCCUCACCACCGUUGCCGAUAAGACGACCAAGUACUGGGGAUAAUUCCACCAGCAGUGGAGGUGGCUAGGGGGGGGAGGAGGAGGAGGAGAUGCCGCCUUUUGAGGAAGAGGAGGGGGAGUUAUUUAUCGAGGAAGCAUUGCCAAGGGAGGAAGAAGAGGAGGUGCCUAUAGUGGAAUAUCGAGAUCAGGGGACACAAACGGGACCAUUUCUGCAGCCGGUCUUUGACGAACUUGCAGAGGCCCUACGCGCAGUUGCUAGGGCAGUUCGUCAUAUGCAGCAGGCGCUAAAUGAUAUUUGAUUGUUUUGGUGUUUUGCUUUUGGUUUGGGUUAUUUAUAAAAAAAAUAUAAAAAAAGAAAAAUUAAAAAAUUAGUUUAUUGCAGUUA